UGGGGAAUAUUGCACAAUGGGCGCAAGCCUGAUGCAGCCAUGCCGCGUGUGUGAAGAAGGCCUUCGGGUUGUAAAGCACUUUCAGCGGGGAGGAAGGCGAUAAGGUUAAUAACCUUGUCGAUUGACGUUACCCGCAGAAGAAGCACCGGCUAACUCCGUGCCAGCAGCCGCGGUAAUACGGAGGGUGCAAGCGUUAAUCGGAAUUACUGGGCGUAAAGCGCACGCAGGCGGUCUGUCAAGUCGGAGGUGAAAUCCCCGGGCUCAACCUGGGAACUGCAUUCGAAACUGGAAGGCUAGAGUCUUGUAGAGGGGGGUAGAAUUCCAGGUGUAGCGGUGAAAUGGGUAGGGAUCUGGAGGAAUACCGGUGGCGAAGGCGGCCCCCUGGCGGAAGACUGACGCUCAGGUGCGAAAGCGUGGGAGCAAACAGG
rnacentral:rRNA from 1 species